rnacentral:rRNA from 1 species
UGGGGAAUUUUGGACAAUGGGGGCAACCCUGAUCCAGCCAUUCCGCGUGAGUGAAGAAGGCCUUCGGGUUGUAAAGCUCUUUCGGCAGGAACGAAACGGCGGGCUCUAACAUAGCCUGUUAAUGACGGUACCUGAAGAAGAAGCACCGGCUAACUACGUGCCAGCAGCCGCGGUAAUACGUAGGGUGCGAGCGUUAAUCGGAAUUACUGGGCGUAAAGCGUGCGCAGGCGGAUUGUUAAGCAAGACGUGAAAUCCCCGGGCUUAACCUGGGAAUGGCGUUUUGAACUGGCAGUCUAGAGUGCGUCAGAGGGGGGUGGAAUUCCACGUGUAGCAGUGAAAUGCGUAGAGAUGUGGAGGAACACCGAUGGCGAAGGCAGCCCCCUGGGAUGACACUGACGCUCAUGUACGAAAGCGUGGGUAGCAAACA